AGGUGUGGAUAGGGGAGAAAUUCCAAUCGAACCCGGAGAUAGCUGGUUCUCCUCGAAAUAGCUUUAGGGCUAGCCUCGUAUUAGUCUGGUGGAGGUAGAGCACUGAAUUUCCUAGGGGGCGUCAAAGCCUACCGAAGAAUAUCAAACUCCGAAUGCCAUACAGAUGAUGUACGGGAGUCAGACGGCACGAGAUAAGUUGGGUCGUCAAAAGGGAAAGAGCCCAGACCUGCAGCUAAGGUCCCAAAGUGUGUGUUAAGUGGAAAAGGAUGUGGGAUUUCAAAGACAACUAGGAUGUUGGCUCAGAAGCAGCCACACAUUCAAAGAGUGCGUAAUAGCUCACUAGUCGAGAGGUCCUGCGCCGAAAAUGUCCGGGGCUGAAACACAACACCGAAGCUCAGGAAUGUAUUUAUACAUUGGUAGAGGAGCAUUCUUAAAGGGGCGAAGCAGUACCGAUAAGGAGCUGUGGACUUUUAAGAAGAGAGAAUGCCGGAAUGAGUAGCGAGAUGGAGGUGGGAAUCCUCCAGGCCGAAUAUCUAAGGUUUCCAGGGUAAAGCUGAUCUGCCCUGGGUAAGUCGGGGCCUAAGGCAAGGCUGAGAAGCGUAGCUGAUGGACAACAGGUUUAGAUUCCUGUACCACAUGAUAUCAGAACUGUGGGGACGCAGAGGGAUAAGAUGACCGGGGAACAGAACUCCGGGCAAGCGUAGGAGGUGUCAGGCAGGCAAAUCCGCCUGAUAAGCCAAAGACGUGACGCGGACCGAACUCAAGUAGGGAAGCAUCCGAUUCCAGCUGCCGAGAAAAGCCGCUAUUGUGUAUCAUGUGCCCGUACCGUAAACCGACACAGGUGGAUGAGGAGAGAAUCCUAAGGCCGGCGGGAGAAGCAUUGUUAAGGAACUCGGCAAAAUGACCCCGUAACUUCGGGAGAAGGGGUGCUCCAGAGAUGGAGCCGCAGAGAACUGGCCCAAGCAACUGUUUAGCAAAAACACAGGUCUAUGCAAAACCGAAAGGUGAGGUAUAUGGGCUGACGCCUGCCCGGUGCUGGAAGGUUAAGAGGAGAUGUUAGCCGCAAGGUGAAGCAUUGAAUUUAAGCCCCAGUAAACGGCGGCCGUAACUAUAACGGUCCUAAGGUAGCGAAAUUCCUUGUCGGGUAAGUUC
rnacentral:rRNA from 1 species